rnacentral:lncRNA from 1 species
UUACAUGUUCUCACCUCCCCCACCAUUUUUCAGGUAUCGCGGGCGAUGAGUAGUGGGACGAGACGUGAGGUAUGUGUGUAGCGGUCGAUAGAGCUUCCGACCCAGGUUAUUUCGGUUUAGUUAUUAUCCUUAGUAUUUCUGUUGAUAUAUAGCUUAGAUAGCUUAUAUGGUUCAGUAUUUAUUUACAUUUGAAAAUGUGGAUUUCUGGAUUUUUGUAAAUUAAAAGAUUUUCUACCCCUCGUGGUAGCGUUUUUAAAGAAUAAAGGUUUCCGUGUAGGAAACAGCUUUCAAAAGGUUUUCUGUGAUUUUAUAUCGUAGUAUUUCAAAACCUGCUUCUGUGGAUGGAAACAUUUUAACUGAUAGAUGUGGAUUUAUGUUUAAAUAUUUAAUGCAUAAAUGUGAAUCUGUGGUGAAUAGUGUAUGAAUAUAUAUAACGGUUGGUUAUUUGUAUAUUCAUUUGUUGUGGUUGUGCCUGGGUGACUUCUUGUACUUGUGCGACGCCGUGCAAAUAUAGGGGAGACUCUGUCCGUGUGAACAGUGGAUUCCCUGUGUUUGUGGCGGAUCUUGCAUACUCUGGGGUCAGGCUUUUUUAAAAAAAAAAAAAAAAAUUCAGACGUUUUUCCGCUAUGUUUUAAACUAAAAGGACCCCGGGGCGUGACAGAGCGAGUGCGUGAGUAGCCAACGGCAAGCGAGGGCGUGGGUAGCCGACGGCGAGCGAAGGCGUGAGGAGCCGACGGCGAGCGAGCGUGUGAGGAGCCGACGGCGAGCGAGCGCGU